rnacentral:rRNA from 1 species
CCCUUAGAUGUCCUGGGCCGCACGCGUGCUACACUGACGCCUACAGCGAGUACUUCCCAGCCCCGAGAGGUGGCUGGUAAUCAGCAAUAGGCGUCGUGAUGGGGAUAGAUCUUUGGAAUUAUGGAUCUUGAACGAGGAAUGCCUAGUAAGCGCAGGUCAUUAGCCUGCGCUGAUUAAGUCCCUGCCCUUUGUACACACCGCCCGUCGCUCCUACCGAUUUCGGGUGGUCCGGUGAAUCUUUCGGACUGCGCGCGGCCUCGUGCCGUGUCGCGGAAAGUCAGGUAAACCUUAUCACUUAGAGGAAGGAGAAGUCGUAACA